rnacentral:rRNA from 1 species
GGCACGGCGAAAAGAGCCGUUUGAUAGAGCAGGUGUGUACGCACGAAGGCAACGACGUGUUCAGCAUGCUGCUACUAACAGCCCACACUUGUAUUUUG